rnacentral:miRNA from 1 species
UCCCACGUAGAUUAGCUAU